GACGAGGGGUCCUAGCGUUGUUCGGAAUCAUUGGGCGUAAAGCGUGUGUAGGCUGCCAUUCAAGUCAGUUGUGAAAGCCCCAGGCUCAACCUGGGAAGUGCUUCUGAGACUGUUUGGCUUGAGUACUGGAGAGGAUAGUAGAAUUCCUGGUGUAGUGGUGAAAUACGUAGAUAUCAGGAGGAAUACCGGUGGCGAAGGCGGCUAUCUGGCCAUGUACUGACGCUGAGGCACGAAAGCGUGGGGAUCAAACAGG
rnacentral:rRNA from 1 species